AACGAACGCUGGCGGCGCGCCUAAUACAUGCAAGUCGAGCGAGAAGACGUAGCAAUACGUUUGUAAAGCGGCGAACGGGUGAGGAAUACAUGGGUAACCUACCCUCGAGUGGGGAAUAACCAGCCGAAAGGUUAGCUAAUACCGCGUACGCUCCUUGGACUUCGGUUCAGGGAGGAAAGCGAUACCGUGGGUAUCGCGCUCUUGGAUGGGCUCAUGUCCUAUCAGCUUGUUGGUGAGGUAACGGCUCACCAAGGCUUCGACGGGUAGCUGGUCUGAGAGGACGAUCAGCCACACUGGCACUGCGACACGGGCCAGACUCCUACGGGAGGCAGCAGUAAGGAAUAUUGCGCAAUGGGCGAAAGCCUGACGCAGCGACGCCGCGUGGGGGAUGAAGGUCUUCGGAUUGUAAACCCCUUUCGGGAGGGAAGAUGGAACGAGCAAUCGUUCGGACGGUACCUCCAGAAGCAGCCACGGCUAACUUCGUGCCAGCAGCCGCUG
rnacentral:rRNA from 1 species